rnacentral:rRNA from 1 species
CUCCUCCCUUUCAUUCAGUUGGUCAGCCAGUCGACACCACCCCUCAGUGCUGCAGCAAUCACCGCGCUUACUGGUCGUUGGCGGCCGGACACACACAAUUUCCAUCUUCGGACCGGGGAGAAGACGGUGACGCUCCAGGAUAUUGCUAUGAUCACCGGUCUUCGUAUCGAGGGUAAUCCUCUAUGUAUGAGCACCGAUUAUGACGGGUGGCGCAAGAAGAUGCAUGCCCUUAUCGGCAUGGUUCCUCCGGAGCCUCGGGAACUAGAAGAAGAAGACAAGAAGAAGGAAAGAUUUGCAGCCGGUGCUCCUUUCUCCUAG